rnacentral:rRNA from 1 species
UACCGAGGUGGCAAGCGUUGUUCGGAAUUACUGGGCGUAAAGGGCGCGUAGGCGGCUUUUUAAGUCAGACGUGAAAUCCCCCGGCUUAACCUGGGAACUGCGUCUGAUACUGGGAAGCUUGAGUUCGGGAGAGGGAUGUAGAAUUCCAGGUGUAGCGGUGAAAUGCGUAGAUAUCUGGAGGAAUACCGGUGGCGAAGGCGGCAUCCUGGACCGAAACUGACGCUGAGGCGCGAAAGCUAGGGGAGCAAACGGG